rnacentral:rRNA from 1 species
CGGCGACGCCGAGCGGAACCCGAAAAGCCGUCUCAGUUCGGAUUGGAGUCUGCAACCCGACUCCAUGAAGCUGGAUUCGCUAGUAAUCGCGCAUCAGCCACGGCGCGGUGAAUACGUUCCCGGGCCUUGUACACACCGCCCGUCAAGCCAUGGGAGCCGGGAGUGCCUGAAGUACGUGACCGCAAGGAGCGUCCUAGGGUAAGACCGGUGACUGGGGCUAAGUCGUAACAAGGUACC